rnacentral:rRNA from 1 species
CAGUCGCCGCGGGAAUACGUAGGGUGCAAGCGUUAAUCGGAAUUACUGGGCGUAAAGCGUGCGCAGGCGGUGUUGUAAGACUGAUGUGAAAUCCCCGGGCUCAACCUGGGAACUGCAUUGGUGACUGCAACGCUGGAGUGCGGCAGAGGGGGAUGGAAUUCCGCGUGUAGCAGUGAAAUGCGUAGAUAUGCGGAGGAACACCGAUGGCGAAGGCAAUCCCCUGGGCCUGCACUGACGCCCAUGCACGAAAGCGUGGGGAGCAAACAGGAUUAGAUACCCCCGUAGUCCCUGUCUCUUAUAC